AACCCGUUAUUAUACGCUCUAAUCCUAACCUCAACAGGUUUAUGACCAGUCAUUCCGUGCAGUACAUGGAACAUAUCGCUGUUACGCGCAAACACCAAGAUUCCGAUUCCGUCCAUCAGACGCAAAUAGACGUCAUCGAGUAUCGCCAAGGACUUUUGUUGAGAGAGACUUUACCUGAGGUGUUUCAAUCUGAUUAAAGAGAAGAGAAAAUAAUAAAGAAUAGGUGGAACAUCAGCUGGCUCUCAUCAUCAAUAUACAGUAGAUCAUUGAUCAUUUUGCGAAGAAGAAAUUUUUUUAGAUAUAGUUGAAUAUAUACAGACCUCUAGAUUAUACAGACUAUAUAGUUGAUACAGACCUUCAGAUUAUACAGUCUACACAGACACUAUAGAUUGUAUUGAAAAUACAAAUAGAAAUAGAAUAGAAAAGAAUAGACGUAAAACAGAUAUAUAGAUAUAAGAUAAAAAUAGAAAUAAGAAGAGAAAUAAUAUCGGAUUGAAAGAAAUUUCGAUUGAAAUAGAUAGACCUCUCAUUUUUUGUACUAUAAUAGAAAUCAAAGUGCUCUUGAAGAAUAAAGAACAAUAUUUUCA